CCUUGGGCCUGUUUUGUGCAGAGGAAGAAUCGACAGGAGCUUGUGCAAAAAGUGAAGACAAUGGAAGGCCAGGACUGUCCUCAGAGAAGCAGCAUGUGCAUAUACUACCAAAGGACUCCUCAGGCAAGCAGGCUCCUGCAAGUGACUAGGUGGCGCUCUGGUCCAGGUGUGAGUGGUGUUUCGAGGACAGAGGCAGGGCAACGCGGCAGGGAGGAAGGAAGAAGGAAGAUCACUGGGUUGUGUGUGGGGGGGUUAAUGAUUGUUUUCUAAGAUUACAAUGGCUGUUUGGGUGUUUGUGAUUUUUUUUUACUGCCGCAGAGAAGACGCCCUGGAGAGGGAAGGGGUAGGCUGAAAUCUAGCCCCACCAGCCCGUCUUGGCUCAUGGUGGUUGGGGCAGCCCGGCACAAGUGGGGCAUUUCACAGUAAACACAAUGAUCCUGGGCAGGAUUGACAGUGCCGGGCGUGGACAUGUAAUUCCAGGCAGAGUCCAGAGAGGGUGAGGUCCCCCUUGCACAACCCAGCCCAGCCCAGCACCUCACACCCUGCAUGAGACCAGAGCAGGAGUGUAGGAAUGGCUGGGUCUUGUGCCAGGCCACCCCCUCACCCAGCUGACACUUGGUGAAACUACGACCUGCCCUGUCCACACUGGGGGUUUGAAGCAUAUUGUCAAUCAUGGUUUAAACACACCUUUGUGCUAGUAUGGACAAGUCCCAAGGAGCACAGCACCUAGGGGAACACCCCUUUCUCCCCAGCCACACAGGAACCCCCUGCAGCAGAACCCCAGUGCUUCCUCCUCACCCUGGGUCUGACCAGGGUCUUUAACCCUACAAGACUCCUGCCAUCCUCAGCCAGGUCCCAGGACAGGUGGGCCAAGCUGGGACCAGGCUCUGCUGACCCCAGGGCAAGCCUGGGAUGUGAGCAUGCAGCGUGCCCCGAGCCUGGCUGCCCUUGCCCCUGUCCAGCGGUGCAGGAGGCUGAGCCCUGCCCGGUGUGUCUGUCAUUGCCAGCCCUCAGCCCUCUACAAGCCCCCGUCGUCACCACAGCUUUGGCCAUCUGGAGCACCAAGCCUGUCGUGUCAAUCAAUAAACUGAUCUCAUGUUA